GUAUGCAACAGUUAAGAUGGCUGUCAGCUAAUGUUUUCUCUUUUCCUCUGUUUCCUAAGCAUCAGGCACUGAUACUGGGAUUAUAGGAUACACAUGCACUCAAGGCGUGAGACAAACACCGGUCGUGGGCCUCACACAGUUUAUUUAACAACAGAAAUUGUGUGGUGGAGUUGGGCAGAGUGAGGAGAAGAAAGCAAGCAGAGACCUCAGGAAACCACUUUUCAGGUGAAACAUCUCACCAAAUUCAUUUCUCACCCUCUUUUUCAUGUUUUUCUUUCUGUCUUUCUUUCUUUUCUUGGUACCGAGGAUCGAACUCAGGACCUUGCACUUGCAGGGCAAGUGCGGUGUCACUGGGCUAAACCCCAGCCCCAUUUUGUCCUUUCUUACAUGUAAAAAUAACUAAAAUAUUUUUUUCAGGAAGUACCAGGGCAACUGAGCCACUGAGCAACUUAGCAAAACCCUGUCAAAACAAGAUAAUUAAAGGGCUAAGGAUUUAGCUCUAUGUGAAAGCCCUGUGUUCAAACCCCAGGCCCCACCCCAAAAGAUUGAUCAUUGUGCCCAGGGGAAAAAGCUGAUAUUUAAUAUGCUUAUAUGUGUAGAAUGUAAUGUUUUUUGGUGCCGGGGAUUGAACCCAGGACCUCACAAUUGCCAGGCUGGUACUAUGUCACUGAGUUACAUCCCCAGCUCUGUAGAAUGUAAUUGUAAAGUAACGUUAGACAUUUUUAUCUUAUGGUUUUAGGGGAAGAGAACUCUUCCAUAUUGUGAGGAAAAUAAGGAAGUGUAUCAAAACCUUCACCACAAAAUAACUAUUAAUAUUACAUAUCUGCAUUAAUUAAAAAAAAACUAGUAAUGUUUGGAGGUGCAAGGCAGGAGGGUGUGGGGCUUCAGACCUCAGCCUCCUCCAGGCACACGUGAACCACACACAGGGAAGAAGGGCUGGCGAAGCAGCCAAAG